ensembl:lncRNA
CUUGGAAGUCAGCCAGAAAGUCAUGAGCAUCUUCAAACAGCCUUAGGUUGACACCUACAUCUCUGUGGCAAGAAAUGGAAGCCUCUGGCCAACAGCAAGUGAGGACCAGAGACCUAUUGCCAACCAGCCCCAUGAUGAUUUGGGACACUCUGGCUGGAGGCAGAAGAAUAAAGUAAGCAGUUGUCUGGCCAACGGGAACUGAGAAGUAAUCCAAGCUGAUCUGCCCUGUCCACAGCCUGAUUUUAAAAUGAUCAGGAGAGUGUCACUUUUAUGGAUUUGCCUUGUGGAAAACCAACAGCAUAUGAGGAAAAGGAGACGAUUAUCUUCACUAAGAAAAAAAUUGUGCAAACAGUCUCAGUGCACAGGCAUGGCCACACAAACACAUAAACAGCCCUGGUUGAAUUUCUCGCCAUUAACCCACGUCCAGGGCAUCCCAGGGCAUCUGGGGACCUAGCAAACUAAGCAGCGUUUAUUCAGAUAUUCACUAGGGAACUUUCUAAAACUUUAGAGACAUGGAAACAUAUGCUCUAUGUACAGACAUGUAAAUCGUGCAAAAUGCAAGUGAACACCGAGAAGUCAACCACAAGGCAAAGCAGCUACUUCGUUCUGCCUCUCGCUUCUGUGAUUGGGGCGGGGACCCUGGAGGGCGGUUGUCUCAUGGCAGCCAGCCCUGUUCUUUAUUCGCAACCUGGACAGCAGUUCUCAUUCACGAACAUGUGCUAUUUAGCCCAAGACCAGAAGUUUUCUAUUCAAGCCAAGACCAGAAAUUUUCCAAGACAUGGAGGAAAGCACAGCGACCCUGAUGCAAUGUUUGUGGUUAAAUUAGGGUAGUUCAAUUGAUUUAAGUCUCCGGGAUGGCUUUUAGAUUGAAAAGCCUGCUAAUCCUGAGAGUAAAGCAGGUGUUGGUUUGCAACCCAGGAGUUCCCAGUUGAAAUCCGAAACUGGCCCCCGUACACGGCAGGCAAGGACAGACCCAUGACAGAGGCAGGCCACUCCAGAUUGGUAGGCGGUAGGUUUAAUAAGCAAGGGAACUGACAUACAAGGCUUGUCUUGGAUGGCUACAAGAUGAGUAGAUGUCCACACCGGCUCCACAGAAUCUUAAAAGUUUAUAUAGAGGCCUUAACUGGGUUGAGUCAUGUAUCCUGUCCAGAUGGCCUCAACGCCUUACUCUCUCAAGGCUGUACCCUUGAAAUAGCUCCUAGUGUGGGAAUGGUGGACAGAAUGUACCUUCCAAGGACAGAUGCGGGUGUGAGGGACCCCUGCUUGCCUGGGACCAGCUCACAGAUCAACCAGCGGCCACAUCCCCUUGAAGACUCCUCCAACAGCAGGAGAAAUAUGUUAUUUGAAGUGUGACAAAAUUCCUAAGGUGGCUAAAGAGCACAAUCCAUGUUUAAUAAGAAGGAAACUGGAUCGGGAGGAAAAUCAGCUGUAAUGUACAUUUAGAAAGGGAAGAAAUGCCAGUGUUGAACCUGGAAAUAUAGGUUUAAGUCUGCUUGAGGUCACGCAGGAGGGGACUGCAAAAGGAAAUCUUGGCUUCUCACUUUGAAAACGCAUUUGAAUUUAAUGUGUACACUCACAUUGAAGUUUUGACUCUUGCAUACUACCACUUGGUUACACCACAGGACAGCCCGGGUCAGGAGCAUCUGUGUCUGGACGCCCUGGGGCCCUUUUCCUGGCCUCUGGGAGUAUCUCCAGUGCAAUAUCUCACUGGGCUGCUGUAACUUCAAUGAACCAUAGAGGUACUUCCUACUUGUUCUUUUCCCUUCUUGUUGUUAUUGGUUUCUUCUUUUUUUUGCUAACCAGCUUUCCAAUAUUUGAAACGUCCUUACCUGAACACUAGAACUUGAAGACCUGAAGUCCUCAAUCAGGAAUGAAUGAUUUGGCGCAGGGUUCUGGGUGGGUGAAGCAGUUCACCCACCUCCACAAAAUCUCAGGUCACUAACGUGCAUAUUACUGAAUCUGCUGCUGAGUAAGAGCCAGAGGAUGCUGGCUGCUUCGAGGCUGGGGGAUGAGGAAGGAGGGCUGCAGAUGGAUUUGCCUAAAGCCCGCACACCUUGUUUGCCUUCAGCUGUGAGUAAAGUAAAAAGUAUAUAUAUUGCGUUCAAAGAUUAUGAUCCUUGCAAACCUUAGGAGUAGCUACUUUCAUCCCAAUAGAUUGCUGACUCUGAUUUCUUAAAGGAGUUGGUAACUUUAUUCUGUACCCCAACUUUGGAAUGGGUUUUAACAGCCCUGGGGAGCCUCUUCUGUUCUCCCUUUUCAUAGGACCUUGGCCUCUAUUGCCUCUGAGCUGUAGGAAGGCUCAUGGGCACCGUCAAGGCUAACGGAAUGGAGACCAUGACUGCAGCUCUACAUCUAUAAAUAUUCCCGGUUUUUGAGGACAGACAGCUGAAUUCGUAAAUAGUGUGCCUAUGCACAUGGCACAGCAGAGGCAUAUGUGGCUUUAAUCCUUUGGGUGUUUCCCUGUGGUCUGUUCUCAGCUUUUGAACUGAUGUGUAUGCUCCGUGUUUAUAGGCAAGCUUGGCCCCCUUGGCUGUGGUCCCUUGCUCUGCACCCACCACCCAUUCUUCUUAUACCAGCAGCCUGGUAAAGUCAAGAUGCUGCGAGCCAAGAUCCAGGCGAAGGACCAGCUGUCCACUGGCCAACAUCCCAUUCCUUUUUUAAAUUUGAUAUCAUAAGAGUGAAAAAUAAGACAAAGUUUAUACUAAGCCAGGAACUGGCUUCUGAAAGGAAUCUUAAUGUUAUACUUUUUGUUUUCAGAUAGCUUUGAAACGAAAACAUUCUA